UCCCGUUGAUCCUGCGGGAGAUUGCUGCUAUUGGGGUUCGACUAAGCCAUGCAAGUCCUGGGGUUCUUCGGAACACCGGCAGAAUGCUCAGUAACACGUCGAUAAUCUGCCCUUAGGUCUGGGAUAACCUUGAGAAAUUGAGGCUAAAACCGGAUAGAAGAUUGAUACUGGAAUGUUCUUUCUUUGAAAAGUAAUGCCUAAGGAUGAGUCGGCGGCGGAUUAGGCUGUUGGUGGGGUAACGGCCCACCAAACCGAAGAUCCGUAGGGGCCCUGAGAGGGGUAGCCCCGAGAAGGUCACUGAGAUACUGGACCUAGCCCUACGGGGUGCAGCAGGCGCGAAACCUUUACAAUGCACGAAAGUGUGAUAAGGGAACCCCAAGUGCUCAUGUUUACAUGGGCUUUUGCCAAGAUUAAAUACCUUGGCGAAUAAGUGGUGGGCAAGACUGGUGCCAGCCGCCGCGGUAACACCAGCGCCACGAGUGGGAAUCAUUUUUAUUGGGCCUAAAGCGUCCGUAGCCGGUUUAGUAAAUCUUUUGUGAAAUCGUGAAGCUUAACUUUACGGCGUGCAGAAGACACUGCUAAACUUGGAACCAGGAGGAGUCAGAAUUAUUUUAGGGGGAGCGGUAAAAUGCUAUAAUCCCUAGAGGAAUACCUGUGGCGAAGGCGUCUGACUAGAAUGGAUUCGACGGUGAGGGACAAAAGCCAGGGGAUCAAAUCGGAUUAGAUACCCGAGUAGUCCUGGCUGUAAACGCUGUGAGCUAGGUGUUGCGUAUUCUACUUGAAUAUGCAGUAUCGGAACGAAGGUGUUAAGCUCACCGCCUGGGAAGUACGGUCGCAAGACUGAAACUUAAAGGAAUUGGCGGGGAAGCACCACAAGGGGUGCGGCGUGCGGUUUAAUCUAAUUCAACACAGAGAACCUCACCAGGGGCGACGGCAGAAUGAAAGUCAGUCUAAAGGGCUUACUUGACAAGCCGAGAGGUGGUGCAUGGCCGCCGUCAGCUCGUGCUGUAAAGUGUCCUCUUAAGUGAGGUAACGAGCGAGACCUGUAUUCACAAUUGCUAGCAAGUCCUUCAGGACGAUUGAGCACAUUGUGGAGACUGCCUUGGAAACAAGGAGGAAGGUGCAGGCUACGGUAGGUCUGUAUGCCCCGAAUCUUCUGGGCUACACGCGCGCAACAAUGGUAGAGACAAUGGGACACAACUCCGAAAGGAGAAGUUAAUCCUCGAAACUCUAUCCAAGUCCAGAUUGAGGAUUGCAACUCAUCCUCAUGACGAUGGAAUCCCUAGUAAUCGCGAGUCAUCAGCUUGCGGUGAAUAUGUCCCUGCUUCUUGCACACACCGCCCGUCAAACCACUCGAGCAGGGUUUAGAUGAGGCCUACUUUUUUGGGUAGUUCGAAUCUAAACUCAGUGAGAUGGGUUAAGUCGUCACAAGGUA
rnacentral:rRNA from 1 species